rnacentral:rRNA from 1 species
GUGCCAGCCGCCGCGGUAAGACAGAGGGGGCAAGCGUUGUCCGGAAUUACUGGGCGUACAGGGCACGCAGGUGGCUGCAUAGGUGGCGUGUGAAAGCCCCGCGCUUAACGCGGGGAGGCCACGCCAAACGGUGCGGCUCGAGCGAUGCAGAGGGUGGUGGAAUUGCCGGUGUAGUGGUGAAAUGCGUAGAGAUCGGCAGGAACACCAAGGACGAAGGUAACCACCUGGGCAUCAGCUGACACUCAUGUGCGACAGCGUGGGGAGCGAACCGGAUUAGAAACCCGCGUAGUCC